AACGAACGCUGGCGGCAUGCCUAACACAUGCAAGUCGAACGAGACCUUCGGGUCUAGUGGCGCACGGGUGCGUAACGCGUGGGAAUCUGCCCUUGGGUUCGGGAUAACAGUUGGAAACGACUGCUAAUACCGGAUGAUGUCUUCGGACCAAAGAUUUAUCGCCCAGGGAUGAGCCCGCGUCGGAUUAGCUAGUUGGUGAGGUAAAGGCUCACCAAGGCGACGAUCCGUAGCUGGUCUGAGAGGAUGAUCAGCCACACUGGGACUGAGACACGGCCCAGACUCCUACGGGAGGCAGCAGUGGGGAAUAUUGGACAAUGGGCGAAAGCCUGAUCCAGCAAUGCCGCGUGAGUGAUGAAGGCCUUAGGGUUGUAAAGCUCUUUUACCCGGGAUGAUAAUGACAGUACCGGGAGAAUAAGCCCCGGCUAACUCCGUGCCAGCCGCCGCAGUAACAC
rnacentral:rRNA from 1 species